UGAGCAAUCUGCCCUUCUCUUUGGAAUAAGCGUUGGAAACGACGUCUAAUGCCGAAUACGACCUCCUUUCGCAUGAUCGGAGGUGGAAAGCUCCGGCGGAGAAGGAUGAGCUCGCGGCCUAUCAGCUAGUUGGUGUGAGGUAACGGCUCACCAAGGCUUCGAUCGGUGACCGGCCUGAGAGGGCGAUCGGUCACACCGGAACUGAGACACGGUCCGGACUCCUACGGGAGCAG
rnacentral:rRNA from 1 species